GAUCGGCAAAAGUCGAAAAUCCGAAAUGCCGAAAACCGGUAUUUUGUAGAUUUGCGAGUGUGCGAAUGCUCGUGAGGUAAAUCGAUUAAUGUUUUUGUUAAGCUGCAAUGUUUGGACUACAAAGUGCAUGAUUUCUGUGCCCUCGAUAUUUUUGGGCUUAAUGGGCCAAAAUUGGAAUGAUGGGCCAACGGGCCCAAUUCGGAAAUCCCCAACCAUAGUGGGCUUGGAGCUGUGAGGGAAUUCGGAGUGGCCACCCGUUCUAAAAGUUUGAUUUUCUUCUGGUGAACCGGACAUCCUUUUAUUUACGUUUUUUGUUUUGGGUUUUUAAAUGUAAUAAGGCCGCUUAAUUAUUUUUGAUGGUUUUAAUAUGUAUUACUAAGAUAGGUAUUACUUA